rnacentral:rRNA from 1 species
AGAGUUUGAUCCUGGCUCAGGAUGAACGCUGGCGGCAUGCCUAAUACAUGCAAGUCGAACGAGAGACCUUCGGGUCUCUAGUGGCGAACGGGUGAGUAACACGUAGGGAACCUGCCCGUGCACCGGGAAUACGCUCUGGAAACGGAGAACAAAUCCCGAUGUACAGGAAGGAGGCAUCUUCUUUCUGUGAAACAUCCUUUAGGGGAUGGGGCGCGGAUGGACCUGCGGUGCAUUAGUUGGUUGGCGGGGUAAAGGCCCACCAAGACGAUGAUGCAUAGCCGGCCUGAGAGGGCGGACGGCCACAUUGGGACUGAGACACGGCCCAGACUCCUGCGGGAGGCAGCAGUAGGGAAUUUUCGUCAGUGGGCGCAAGCCUGAACGAGCGAUGCCGCGUGAGUGAAGAAGGCCUUCGGGUCGUAAAGCUCUGUUGCGGGGGAAAAAAGGCAGCAUCAGGAAAUGGGUGCUGACUGAUGGUGCCCCGCCAGAAAGUCACGGCUAACUACGUGCCAGCAGCCGCGGUAAUACGUAGGUGGCGAGCGUUAUCCGGAAUGAUUGGGCGUAAAGGGUGCGCAGGCGGUCCUGCAAGUCUGGAGUGAAACGCAUGAGCUCAACUCAUGCAUGGCUUUGGAAACUGGAGGACUGGAGAGCAGGAGAGGGCGGUGGAACUCCAUGUGUAGCGGUAAAAUGCGUAGAUAUCAGGAGGAGCACCGGCGGCGAAGGCGGCCUGCUGGACCGCGACUGACGUUGAGGCUCGAAAGCGUGGGGAGCGAACAGGAUUAGAUACCCUGGUAGUCCACGCCGUAAACGAUGACUACUAGGUGUCGGGGGACGACAGUGUCCCGGUGCCGGCGCAAACGUAAUAAGUAGUCCACCUGGGGAGUACGUCCGCAAGGAUGAAACUCAAAGGAAUUGACGGGGACCCGCACAAGCGGUGGAGCAUGUGGUUUAAUUCGAAGCGACGCGAAGAACCUUACCCGGCCUUGACAUCCCCACGGAUGCAGGGCAAUGCCUGCAGCCCCUCGGGGCGUGGGAGACAGGUGGUGCAUGGUUGUCGUCAGCUCGUGUCGUGAGAUGUUGGGUCAAGUCCCGCAACGAGCGCAACCCCUGCCCCUAGUAGCCAGCACGCGAUGGUGGGCACUCUAGGGGGACUGCCGGGGACAACCCGGAGGAAGGCGGGGACGACGUCAAAUCAUCAUGCCCCUUAUGGCCGGGGCUACACACGUGCUACAAUGGCGCGCACAGAGGGAUGCGAGCGGGCGACCGUGAGCGAAGCCCGGAAAGCGCGCCCCAGUUCGGAUUGCAGCCUGCAACUCGGCUGCAUGAAGCCGGAAUCGCUAGUAAUCGCGGAUCAGAACGCCGCGGUGAAUACGUUCCCGGGUCUUGCACUCACCGCCCGUCA